CGGCUAUUGCCUCAGCAGCGGCGAGUGAAGCGGCAAAAGCUCAAAUUUGAAAUCUGGCGUCUUUGGCGUCCGAGUUGUAAUUUGAAGAAGGUAUCUUUGGGCCCGGCUCUUGUCUAUGUUCCUUGGAACAGGACGUCACAGAGGGUGAGAAUCCCGUGCGAUGAGAUGACCCGGGUCUGUGUAAAGUUCCUUCGACGAGUCGAGUUGUUUGGGAAUGCAGCUCUAAGUGGGUGGUAAAUUCCAUCUAAAGCUAAAUAUUGGCGAGAGACCGAUAGCGAACAAGUACAGUGAUGGAAAGAUGAAAAGAACUUUGAAAAGAGAGUGAAAAAGUACGUGAAAUUGUUGAAAGGGAAGGGCUUGAGAUCAGACUUGGUAUUUUGCAUGCUGCUCUCUCGGGGGCGGCCGCUGCGGUUUACCGGGCCAGCAUCGGUUUGGAGCGGCAGGAUAAUGGCGGAGGAAUGUGGCACGGCUUCUGCUGUGUGUUAUAGCCUCUGACGAUACUGCCAGCCUAGACCGAGGACUGCGGUUUUUAACCUAGGAUGUUGGCAUAAUGAUCUUAAGUCGCCCGUCUAAAACACCGCGGGACACAAAA
rnacentral:rRNA from 1 species